rfam:Camelus ferus unplaced genomic scaffold scaffold244, whole genome shotgun sequence.
GAGGGUGUAGCUCAAGUGGUAGAGCACAUGCUUAGCAUGCAGGAGGUCCUGGGUUCAAUCCCCAGUACCUCCU